GCAAGUCGAACGGCAGCAUUAUCUAGCUUGCUAGAUUGAUGGCGAGUGGCGAACGGGUGAGUAAUACAUCGGAACGUGCCCUGUAGUGGGGGAUAACUAGUCGAAAGAUUAGCUAAUACCGCAUACGACCUGAAAGUGAACGUGGGGUACAGCAAGGCCUCAUGCUAUAGGAGCGGCCGAUGUCUGAUUAGCUAGUUGGUGAGGUAAAGGCUCACCAAGGCGACGAUCAGUAGGUGGUCUGAGAGGACGAUC
rnacentral:rRNA from 1 species